AGAAUCAACGCUGGCGGCGUGCCUCAGACAUGCAAGUCGAACGCGAAAGUCCCCUUCGGGGACAAGUAGAGUGGCGCACGGGUGAGUAACACGUAGGUAAUCUACCUUCGGAUGGGGAAUAACAAUCGGAAACGGUUGCUAAUACCGCAUAAUGCAGCGGCACCUAAUGGUGACAGUUGUUAAAGCGGGGGAUCGAAAGACCUCGCGUCUGAAGAGGAGCCUGCGGCGGAUUAGCUAGUUGGUAAGGUAAUGGCUUACCAAGGCUACGAUCC
rnacentral:rRNA from 1 species